GUCAGUCUCGUGGGUUGUAUUGUAAAGCAUACAGAGUGAAUCUUUUAAUGUUUUUUUUUUUUUUAUUUUUAGCGCCCAAAACAAUUUUCUGGGAUCGUGUUGAAUGCUACUUGACCUACUUCAUUAUGUUUGAAGGCUGGAAUCAGGGAAAAUUGAAGAUAAUUGUGCGUCAAUGACGAUUCUGUGGAGAAUUAGAAAUUUGGUUGCAUCCAACCUGUUUUAAAGACCACCCUAAGGACAACAAAAUUAUCUUCUUUGAGAGUUCUGUAACAAGCACAAACAGAGGAUAGUUAUAUAGAUGCUGCAUAACAUUUUUUAAUCACGGUAAAGAUGAUAAUGACAACAAAUAACACUGGAUAAUACAGUAGCUCAAGUAUGGCCAAAUUAAUCUAGAUGAUAGUACCUGGGUAAUUGUGGUUGACAUCUGUCAGAUUGGAGAGGUGUGGCUUUUGGACUCCAACAAGACUACAAACUAACACACUCCGAUUGAUACACUGUAAGACAAGAAGAUAAAUGAAGAAAAUGAAUGGGAUAGAAACUUACAGAUGCUUGAAAGAAAACCAUUCUAAGGAGGAGGUCAAGGAACAUGAAAUGCUUCAAACCUUUGAAACGCAAAUAUUUAAAAAAUUGACACGAGUGGUUUUGGAGGAAGAGAAUACUCCUAGGAUCCGGAUGUGAGAGAAGGACGAAAGACAACGGAAGGUCCAAGAAAGGUCAAUGAAAAGGAGGGAGAAAUUUGCUAUCAUUCCGAAUUGUCUCGUGUAGUGCUCUUACUGUAAACUGAAACUGGUUUUGAUUUGAAAAUUCUAAUUUAUUGUGGAUGCAAUAUUACAGAAUAAAGGAUUAAUAUGAGAGAUGUU